rnacentral:rRNA from 1 species
AUUGAACGCUGGCGGCAUGCUUUACACAUGCAAGUCGAACGGCAGCGCGGGCUUCGGCCUGGCUGCGAGUGGCGAACGGGUGAGUAAUGCAUCGGAACGUGCCCAGUAGUGGGGGAUAGCCCGGCGAAAGCCGGAUUAAUACCGCAUACGACCUGAGGGUGAAAGCGGGGGACCGAAAGGCCUCGCGCUAUUGGAGCGGCCGAUGUCGGAUUAGCUAGUUGGUGGGGUAAAGGCUUACCAAGGCGACGAUCCGUAGCUGGUCUGAGAGGACGACCAGCCACACUGCGACUGAGACACGGCCCAGACUCCUACGGGAGGCAGCAGUGGGGAAUUUUGGACAAUGGGGGCAACCCUGAUCCAGCCCUGCCGCGUGCGGGAAGAAGGCCUUCGGGUUGUAAACCGCUUUUGUUCGGGAAGAAAUACUCUGGGCUAAUACCCCGGGGGGAUGACGGUACCGGAAGAAUAAGCACCGGCUAACUACGUG